AUUGAACGCUGGCGGCUUGCCUUACACAUGCAAGUCGAACGGUAACGCGGGGCAACCCGGCGACGAGUGGCGAACGGGUGAGUAAUGCAUCGGAACGUGCCCAGUAGUGGGGGAUAGCCCGGCGAAAGCCGGAUUAAUACCGCAUACGACCUACGGGUGAAAGCGGGGGACCGUAAGGCCUCGCGCUAUUGGAGCGGCCGAUGUCAGAUUAGGUUGUUGGUGGGGUAAAAGCCUACCAAGCCGACGAUCUGUAGCUGGUCUGAGAGGACGACCAGCCACACUGGGACUGAGACACGGCCCAGACUCCUACGGGAGGCAGCAGUGGGGAAUUUUGGACAAUGGGGGCAACCCUGAUCCAGCCAUGCCGCGUGCGGGAAGAAGGCCUUCGGGUUGUAAACCGCUUUUGUCAGGGAAGAAACGCUCUGGGCUAAUACCCCGGGGUAAUGACGGUACCUGAAGAAUAAGCACCGGCUAACUACGUGCCAGCCGCCGCGGUAAAAC
rnacentral:rRNA from 1 species